AUCUGAUGAUGAGGGAAACUAGCACACAACCGCUUAAAUCUCUCCCACUAUUCAUACAAAGACUCCCCUGUAUAUUGCCUUAUACCGCAAAUCUCUUUCCUUAUGCU